AGGAGUCGGGACUGGGGCUGCUGUACAGGUGGCUGGCAGAUCCUCCAGGGUGUCAUGAAGCUCUGCUGAACCCAUGAGAACCGAGGAAUUCUGUCAUGUGAACAUCUCAGGAACUGGGGAUCCAAAUGCACUACAGACAGGAGGAUCAGACCUUGAAGAGGAGAAGAUGAACUGAUAGAAGCCAGAAGCUGCACAUGAGCUUUAUUUGGGAAACUGCAAUAGAAAAUCAAGAAGAUUACCACUUGAAAAUAAACAUCAACAAGAAAGCCAGCAAGUCGAAGAAGACGCAUUUACACUCACCAAGAAACAAUGGAUGACAGCGAUUUCAUUGUAUACAUUGUAUACAGCAUAGUGAAUCUGGUAACACUUGUAAUUGGGCUUCCUGUUGUAUCUCUUGCUCUUUAUGUCGUCUACCGUCAGUUUAAGGCCAACCAUGUUGCCAAUGUUUAUGUGAUAAACCUUCUUAUUUCGGAUAUAAUCCAGUUUUUGGGGAGGCCAUGGAUAUACCUUACACCUGCUGGAAAACAUGCUUCAGACUUUUUUUGGGGUACUUUUUUGUCUGGCAUUGUUUCCAGCCUUGGCUUCAUGGUGUGCAUCGCUAUGGAGAGAUACCUUCUGAUCGCCCAUCCGCACUGGUACCGGUCUCGCUUCACCCUUAAGCUCUCAGCUGUAACAUCCCUUGCGGUCUGGUUGGUCUCUCUAAUUGCUCCCAUUGGGUUGAUUUUUUUAAGAUAUUCAUUUUCCUCUCCCCCAGUGAAUGAUCCUUCACUACAAUUGAUUGCAACCCUGCUGUUAAUUCCUCUACCUUUGCUUUUGUUCUUCUUUGUGGGCACAUGGAGAGGCCUCUCUAAGACCAUCACACUGUCCAGUCGAGAGAAGAAACGUAUUUUAGCCACAUUGCU